AUUGAACGCUGGCGGCAGGCCUAACACAUGCAAGUCGAACGAGUGGCGGACGGGUGAGUAAUGUCUGGGAACUGCCCGAUAGAGGGGGAUAACUACUGGAAACGGUAGCUAAUACCGCAUACUAUCGGAUAACCCAUAUGGGAUUAGCUAUUAGGUGAGGUAAUGGCUCACCUAGGCGACGCUCCCUAGCUGGUCUGAGAGGAUGAUAGGCCAAACUGGGACUUGAAUACGGCCCAGACUCCUCCGGAGGCAGCAGUGGGAAUUAUUGCACAAUGGGCGCAAGCCUGAUGCAGCCAUGCCGCUUGUAUGAAGAAGGCCCUAGUGUUGUAAAGUACUUUCAGUCGGGAGGCGUUACCGACAGAAGAAGCACCGGCUAACUCCGUGCCAGCAGCCGCGGUAAUAC
rnacentral:rRNA from 1 species